GACGAACGCUGGCGGCGUGCUUAACACAUGCAAGUCGAACGAAGAGCGAUGGAUUCUUGCUUCUAUCAGUCUUAGUGGCGAACGUGUGAGUAACGCGUAAUCCACCUGCCCUUCGGUGACGGACAACAGUGGGAAAUGACUGCUCAUACCUCAUACGGUCGGACCUCGGCAUUGAUCAUAGAUGAAGCUUGGCGUCUAUUUAUAGUCUAUCAAUGUAGGAGGUGGGUGCGACUGAUUAGCUAGUUGGAGGGGUAACGGCCCACCAAGGGGAAGAUCAGUAGCCGGUCUGAGAGGAUGAACGGCCACAAUGGGACUGAGACAAGGCCCAGACUCCUACGGGAGGCAGCAGUGGGGAAUCUUCCGCAAUGGACGAAAGUCUGACGGAGCAACGCCGCGGGAGGGAAGACGGCCUUCGGGUUGUAAAGCUAUGUUAAUCGGGACGAAAGGCCUUCUUGCGAAUAGUUAGAAGGAUUGACGGUACCGGAAGAGAAAGCCACGGCUAACUACGUG
rnacentral:rRNA from 1 species